rnacentral:rRNA from 1 species
CCUACGGGUGGCAGCAGUGGGGAAUAUUGGGCAAUGGGCGCAAGCCUGACCCAGCAACGCCGCGUGAAGGAUGAAGGUUUUCGGAUUGUAAACUUCUGUCGCGAGGGACGAAGAAUGACGGUACCUCGUACGACAGCCCCGGCUAACUACGUGCCAGCAGCCGCGGUAAUACGUAGGGGGCAAGCGUUGUCCGGAAUGACUGGGCGUAAAGGGAGUGUAGGCGGCUUAUCAAGUUAGAUGUGAAAUCCCGCGGCUUAACCGCGGAACUGCAUCUAAAACUGGUGAGCUGGAGUGCAGGAGAGGUGAGUGGAAGUCCUAGUGUAGCGGUGAAAUGCGUAGAUAUUAGGAGGAACACCAGUGGCGAAGGCGGCUUACUGGACUGUAACUGACGUUGAGGCUCGAAAGCGUGGGGAGCAAACAGGAUUAGAUACCCCAGUAGUC